rnacentral:SRP_RNA from 1 species
GCCAGGCAUAGUGGCACAUGCCUGUAGUCCAAGCUACUUGGGAGGCUGAGACAGGAGGAUCCCUUGAGUCCAGGAGUUUGAGGCUGCACUGAGCUAUGAUCGUGCCACUGCAGUCCUGCCUGGGCAACAGAGUGAGACCCUGUCUCUA